GAUGAACGCUGGCGGCGUGCUUAACACAUGCAAGUCGAACGGGAAAUACUUCAUUGAGACUUCGGUGGAUUUGAUUUAUUUCUAGUGGCGGACGGGUGAGUAACGCGUGGGUAACCUGCCUUAUACAGGGGGAUAACAGUCAGAAAUGACUGCUAAUACCGCAUAAGCGCACAGGACCGCAUGGUCCGGUGUGAAAAACUCCGGUGGUAUAAGAUGGACCCGCGUUGGAUUAGCUGGUUGGUGGGGUAACGGCCCACCAAGGCGACGAUCCAUAGCCGGCCUGGGAGGGUGAACGGCCACAUUGGGACUGAGACACGGCCCAGACUCCUACGGGAGGCAGCAGUGGGGAAUAUUGCACAAUGGGGGAAACCCUGAUGCAGCGACGCCGCGUGAAGGAAGAAGUAUCUCGGUAUGUAAACUUCUAUCAGCAGGGAAGAUAGUGACGGUACCUGACUAAGAAGCCCCGGCUAACUACGUGCCAGCAGCCGCAGUAAAAC
rnacentral:rRNA from 1 species